rnacentral:rRNA from 1 species
AUACAGAGGGUGCGAGCGUUAAUCGGAAUUACUGGGCGUAAAGCGCGCGUAGGCGGCUUGGUCAGUCGGAUGCGAAAGCCCCGGGCUCAACCUGGGAAUGGCAUUCGAUACUGCCAGGCUAGAGUAUGGGAGAGGGAAGUGGAAUUUCCGGUGUAGCGGUGAAAUGCGUAGAUAUCGGAAGGAACACCAGUGGCGAAGGCGACUUCCUGGCCCAAUACUGACGCUGAGGUGCGAAAGCGUGGGGAGCGAACAGGAGUAGAAACCUUAGUAGUCC